CCUUGCCGCCGGCGACCGGCGCACGGGUGAGUAACGCGUAUGCGACCUGCCCGUUGCAGGGGGAUAACCGGGAGAAAUCCCGCCUAAUACAACAUAAUGCCGGGAGGGGACAUCCCCUGCCGGCCAAAGGGGGCGACCCCGGUCACGGAUGGGCAUGCGGCGCAUUAGGUAGUUGGUGGGGCAACGGCCCACCAAGCCGACGAUGCGUAGGGGUUCUGAGAGGAAGGUCCCCCACAUUGGAACUGAGACACGGUCCAAACUCCUACGGAAGGCAGCAG
rnacentral:rRNA from 1 species